rnacentral:rRNA from 1 species
UCCGCCCGUCGGAUUCAGUCCGCCUGCGCGGCGACGGCCUGGGUGGCGCAUCCCUCGUGGGAGCGCGCCCGGGUCCGNUUCGUCGUGCGGCGGCCGUACUUUCGGCGGGCGGAGCGCCACGACCGGUUCGUCGGCGGCGAGAAACUCCCGGGCAAGGUGACCUUCGUCUCGGCGCAGGAGCAUACAGGCCCGGAGAGCGUAGGCCCGUCGGCGGACCGAGGAAGACCGUCGCGGAGCGGCGUCGACCGCCCGUCGUGUGGUUGCGUUCGACUCGGGGGGACUGGUUCCAGUGCCCUCGGACCGCGCGAUCGCAGCGGCGGGACGGCCCGGCGUCGCGCCUGGGGUCGGUGGCGAAACGGCCGGCAACCUGUCCGACCCGUCUUGAAACACGGACCAAGGAGUCUAACAUGUGCGCGAGUCGUUGGGCGCUACGAAACCCGAAGGCGCAAUGAAAGUGAAGGCCCGGUCUCCGGCCGGCCUGGGUGGGAUCCGGGCGGCCUCGGCCGUCCGGCGCACCACCGGCCCGUCUCGUUCGCCGCGUCGAAAAGGCG